CAGUAGCCGCGGUAAUACGAAGGGUGCAAGCGUUAAUCGGAAUUACUGGGCGUAAAGCGUGCGUAGGCGGUUUGUUAAGUCUGUUGUGAAAUCCCCGGGCUCAACCUGGGAAUGGCAAUGGAUACUGGCAAGCUAGAGUGUGUCAGAGGAUGGUGGAAUUCCCGGUGUAGCGGUGAAAUGCGUAGAGAUCGGGAGGAACAUCAGUGGCGAAGGCGGCCAUCUGGGGCAACACUGACGCUGAGGCACGAAAGCGUGGGGAGCAAACAGGAUUAGAUACCCCUGUAGUCCCUGUCUCUUAUAC
rnacentral:rRNA from 1 species